CCAGAUAGCUGGUCAGAGCCCACACAUACGGGUCACAACUUGUUUUAAAGGUCAGAGCUGUCAACCAGAAUGCUGAAGUAAUGGUCAAGACUGAGCAUGUGCGGGUGAAGUAACUCUUUUUAAGAAUAGGAAGGUAUAUAAAGAAAGAGCUACAAUGUUGCAUAAAAGGCCUGCUGCCAGCAAUAGUUUUAGAGUCCAGAGGCUGAGGCUGAGAAGGAGAGUGGCAUGUGGGGAGAGUUGUGAAGCCAGCAAGAGAAGCCAAAGAAAAACUGCUGCAGAGAGAGAAAAGAAAGCUGGAGCGGAGGAGAGCUGACUGACCAGGAACUGAACAGCAACAGCUGUGAUUUUUAAAAGAAAACAGCAAGGGAUUUAUAGAACCCAGGUUUGCAGCAACCCACUUCAGAAGGUCCUGACAGUCCCUAAAGUCAUCCUGAAGAAGCAGGCUACUGAAUCCCACGACAGCCACUUCUGGGGAAGAUGAGAAGGCUUGCACCAGAGGAGGGGCUUCUUCCUCUGCCACUGCCUUAAAUCACUGAUAAAGAUGAUAAAUAGCACUGGGCAGAGAACAGAUUCCUGCAGAACCUCAACAGAAGCAUCCCCAUUGAAUGAUGAGUCACCAUUUACAAUUACUUUUUGCCAUCUAUCCGUUAACCAGUUUUUAAAGGGGGCUGCAUCGUUUUUUUAUAUGACUAACAUUUUUAUUAUAUUGCCAAUGUAUUCUGUCAAAUGCCUUACAAAAGCCUGACUAUGUUAUGUCAACGCAAUUAUCUUUUAUCAACCAAUCUUGUGAGCUCAUUAAAAACAAGUUUGACUGACAACAGUUAUUGUCCAUAAAAUCAUGUUGACUGUCAUUAAUUAUGCUACCAUCAUUUAAUUCUUUACUGGCUGUGUUUGAUAUUAACCUUUCCAUGAUUUUAUCCAGGUUUGAUGUCAUGCUAACCACCCUAUCAUUUCUCAUAUCGUCCUAUUUAAUCUUUUAAAAUAUUGUCACAUUAGUUUUUUCCAGUUCUCUGAACUUCCCCAGUGUUCCAAAAUUUGUUAAAAAAUCAACAUAAAUGGUUCAGAGACCUAAUUUGCCAAUUCUUUUAAUACUUGUGGGUGCAAGUUAUCCAGUC